rnacentral:rRNA from 1 species
GCUCAAAAUCUAGCCCCACCCAUACUAUAAACCCCUUCACUCACCCAAUUAAUUAAAACAUUUUUAAAGUUAAGUAAAGGAGAUUAAAAAACUCAAUGGAGCAACAAAAAUUGUACCGCAAGGGAAAGAUGAAAUAGAAAUGAAACAAAACUCAAGCACAAAAAAGUAGAGAUUCCCCUCGUACCUUUUGCAUCAUGGUUUAACUAGUCUAAUCAAGCAAAAAGCACUUUAGUUUGACCCCCCGAAACUAAGCGAGCUACUUCAGGGCAGCUUUAUGAGCAAACCCGUCUCUGUUGCAAAAGAGUGGGAAGACCCUCAAGUAGGGGUGAUAGACCUAACGAGCUUAGUGAUAGCUGGUUUCUCAAGAAAAGGAUUUUAGUCCAACCUAAAGCUCCCCACAUCUAUAAAAAUACCCUUUUACAGCUUUAGAGCAAUUCAAAUAAGGUACAGCCUGUUUGAAAUAGGAUACAACCUCAACUGGCGGGUAACAAACCCCUAAUUACAGCCAAGUGGGCCUAAAAGCAGCCACCUUUAUAAUAGCGUUAAAGCUUACCUGUACUACCCAACUAAUCCCUUAAAUCUCCUUCAACCCCCUAUUAGUAUUGAGUAAUUCUAUUCACUUAUAGAACCUAUAAUGUUAGAACUAGUAACAAGAAGUUAACCUUCUCCUUAAUGUAAGUGUAAGCCAGGAAGGACCGCCCACUGGUAAUUAACGCCUAUGAAACCACAUUAGUAACUCUACAAGAAAACCCUAAUGCCCCCUAACGUUGAUCUAACACAAGAGCAUUUCAAGAAAGAUUUAAAGAAAAAGAAGGAACUCGGCAAACCACUAACCCCGCCUGUUUACCAAAAACAUCGCCUCUUGCAUAAGAUAAGAGGUCCAGCCUGCCCAGUGACCCCCCAGUUUAACGGCCGCGGUAUCCUAACCGUGCGAAGGUAGCGUAAUCAUUUGUUCUUUAAAUCAGGACCAGUAUGAAUGGCAUCACGAGGGUUACACUGUCUCCUUUUUCUAAUCAGUGAAACUAAUCUCCCCGUGAAGAAGCGAGGAUGAAGUUAUAAGACGAGAAGACCCUAUGGAGCUUCAAAUUUUUAUUUCAACUGCUGCACCCAUACUAAAGUCCCGACUUCUCAUAACUAACUCAGCACCAUGAAAUUAAAUUUUAGGUUGGGGUGACCGCGGAGAAUAAAAGAACCUCCACAUUGAACUAGGCCUAUAGCCUUGAGCCAAGAGCUACGACUCCACGCACUAAAACAUUAACAUCCAUUGACCCAAUUACUUGAUCAACGAACCAAGUUACCCUAGGGAUAACAGCGCAAUCUACUUUAAGAGCCCCUAUCGACAAGUGGGUUUACGACCUCGAUGUUGGAUCAGGGUAUCCCAGUGGUGCAGCCGCUACUAAAGGUUCGUUUGUUCAACGAUUAAAACCCU